rnacentral:rRNA from 1 species
UACGGGGGGGGCAAGCGUUGUUCGGAAUUACUGGGCGUAAAGGGCUGGUAGGCGGCCAACUAAGUCGGAUGUGAAAUCCACAGGCUUAACCUGGGAACUGCAUCCGAUACUGGGAGGCUUGAAUCCGGGAGAGGGAUGUGGAAUUCCAGGUGUAGCGGUGAAAUGCGUAGAUAUCUGGAGGAACACCGGUGGCGAAGGCGGCAUCCUGGACCGGUAUUGACGCUGAUGCGCGAAAGCCAGGGGAGCAAACGGG